UACGUAGGGUGCGAGCGUUGUCCGGAAUUAUUGGGCGUAAAGAGCUCGUAGGCGGUGUGUCACGUCGGCCGUGAAAACCUGCAGCUUAACUGUGGGCGUGCGGUCGAUACGGGCAUCACUGGAGUUCGGCAGGGGAGGACUGGAAUUCCUGGUGUAGCGGUGAAAUGCGCAGAUAUCAGGAGGAACACCGGUGGCGAAGGCGGGUCUCUGGGCCGAUACUGACGCUGAGGAGCGAAAGCGUGGGGAGCAAACAGG
rnacentral:rRNA from 1 species